GCUGGAAUAGCUCAGUUGGUAGAGCGCACCCAUGGUAAGGGUGAGGUCCUGGGUUCAAUUCCCAGUUUCAGCU
rnacentral:tRNA from 1 species